UACGAAGGGUGCAAGCGUUACUCGGAAUUACUGGGCGUAAAGCGUGCGUAGGUGGUGAGUUAAGUCUGUCGUGAAAUCCCCGAGCUUAACUUGGGAAGUGCUUUUGAAACUGCAAAGCUUGAAUGUGGGAGAGGAUCGUGGAAUUCCAGGUGUAGUGGUGAAAUACGUAGAUAUCUGGAGGAACACCGGUGGCGAAGGCGGCGAUCUGGCCCAACAUUGACACUGAGACCCGAAAGCGUGGGGAUCAAACAGG
rnacentral:rRNA from 1 species